rnacentral:rRNA from 1 species
UACAGAGGUCUCAAGCGUUUGUUCGGAUUCAUUGGGCGUAAAGGGUGCGUAGGCGGCGCGGUAAGUCGGGUGUGAAAUCUUGGAGCUUAACUCCGAAACUGCAUUCGAUACUGCCGUGCUUGAGGACUGGAGAGGAGACUGGAAUUUACGGUGUAGCGGUGAAAUGCGUAGAUAUCGUAAGGAAGACCAGUGGCGAAGGCGGGUCUCUGGACAGUUCCUGACGCUGAGGCACGAAGGCCAGGGGAGCAAAACGGGG